ACAGAGUUGGAUUUGACGUUACCCGCAGAAGAAGCACCGGCUAACUCCGUGCCAGCAGCCGCGGUAAUACGGAGGGUGCGAGCGUUAAUCGGAAUGACUGGGCGUAAAGCGCACGCAGGCGGUCAAUUAAGUUAGAUGUGAAAUCCCCGGGCUCAACCUGGGAACGGCAUCUAAGACUGGUUGACUGGAGUCUCGUAGAGGGGGGUAGAAUUCCAUGUGUAGCGGUGAAAUGCGUAGAGAUGUGGAGGAAUACCGGUGGCGAAGGCGGCCCCCUGGACGAAGACUGACGCUCAGGUGCGAAAGCGUGGGGAGCAAACAGGAUUAGAUACCCUGGUAGUCCACGCUGUAAACGAUGUCGAUUUGGAGGUUGUGGCCUUGAGCUGUGGCUUCCGAAGCUAACGCGUUAAAUCGACCGCCUGGGGAGUACGGCCGCAAGGUUAAAACUCAAAUGAAUUGACGGGGGCCCGCACAAGCGGUGGAGCAUGUGGUUUAAUUCGAUGCAACGCGAAGAACCUUACCUACUCUUGACAUCCUCAGAAUUUGCUGGAGACAGCGAAGUGCCUUCGGGAACUGAGAGACAGGUGCUGCAUGGCUGUCGUCAGCUCGUGUUGUGAAAUGUUGGGUUAAGUCCCGCAACGAGCGCAACCCUUAUCCUUUGUUGCCAGCACGUCGAGGUGGGAACUCAAAGGAGACUGCCGGUGAUAAACCGGAGGAAGGUGGGGAUGACGUCAAGUCAUCAUGGCCCUUACGAGUAGGGCUACACACGUGCUACAAUGGCGGAUACAAAGUGAAGCGACCUCGCGAGAGCAAGCGGAACACACAAAGUCUGUCGUAGUCCGGAUUGGAGUCUGCAACUCGACUCCAUGAAGUCGGAAUCGCUAGUAAUCGUAGAUCAGCAUGCUACGGUGAAUACGUUCCCGGGCCUUGUACACACCGCCCGUCACACCAUGGGAGUGGGUUGCAAAAGAAGUCGGUAGCUUAACCGCGAGGAGGGCGCUGACCACUUUGUGGCUCAUGACUGGGGUGAAGUCGUAACAAGGUAACCGUAGGGGAACCUGCGGUUGGAUCACCUCCUUACCU
rnacentral:rRNA from 1 species